rnacentral:lncRNA from 1 species
AAUGGGGAUGAGGCAAAGUAGUAUAGCAUCUCUGGGGACUCCUGAUAUGGUGAAUGUGCUGCAAAUCUCCAGGAAGUGUUGGAGAUGAGCACUAGCAUCUUCGUGUGCCUUCCUGAACUGGUUGGAUUGCACCAUGUUGAUGAGCCCAGGCUUGAGCUCAAAGUUGCCGUCGAUCUCUGUAGUAGGUCCAGUGCAGAUGUUGUCCGUAGUGGGAGCUGAGAACUCGCGGAUCGACUUAUUCGGCAUGACUUCGAACUCUGAAGACCAGUUUCGGAUGAAACUUCGGUGGUCUUCUUGGUUGGAUGAAGCUUCGUGCUGAAGUGUUGUCGAUCUCUUCUAGAGCUUGGCUCUUGUUUUUCUGAAUAAUGCUUCGGGAUUGUCAACAAAAUUUCCUGGAAGAUGUCUUCUAUUCAUACAUUACCCUGCAUAAAAUAAAAUAGAAAAAUACCGUGGUAAAACUGUAUGAGAGAAUUGAUAAUCUCAAUCAUAUUAGUGAUGCG